CACAUCUGUAUAAUCACGGACAUUGUUAUUUAAAUAUUCUUUGAAAGACUGAAUUUAAGAAUAAAGCCUAAUCUUUUAUUUCUUUACUUUUUUCUUUAUUCUCUUUCUUCUUUAU
rnacentral:rRNA from 1 species